UGGAGGCAGCAGUGAGGAAUUUUGGACAAUGGGCGAAAGCCUGAUCCAGCAAUGCCGCGUGAGUGAAGAAGGCCUUCGGGUUGUAAAGCUCUUUUGUCAGGGAAGAAACGGUAGGGGCUAAUAUCCUUUGCUAAUGACGGUACCUGAAGAAUAAGCACCGGCUAACUACGUGCCAGCAGCCGCGGUAAUACGUAGGGUGCAAGCGUUAAUCGGAAUUACUGAGCGUAAAGCGUGCGCAGGCGGUUUUGUAAGUCUGUCGUGAAAUCCCCGGGCUCAACCUGGGAAUUGCGAUGGAGACUGCAAGGCUAGAAUCUGGUCGAGGGGGGUAGAAUUCCACGUGUAGCAGUGAAAUGCGUAGAGAUGUGGAGGAACACCGAUGGCGAAGGCAGCCCCCUGGGUCAAGAUUGACGCUCAUGCACGAAAGCGUGGGGAGCAAACAGGAUUAGAUACCCGUGUAGUCCA
rnacentral:rRNA from 1 species